AUGAACGCUGGCGGCGUGCUUCAGACAUGCAAGUUGCACGAGAAAGUCCCUUCGGGGAUGAGUAAAGUGGCGCACGGGUGAGUAAUACUUAGGUAACGUACCUUCUCGCUGGGGACAACCAGGCGAAAGCUUGGCUAAUACCGAAUGAUCCCGCUUUGACCUCGGUCUUUGUGGGUAAAGCCGUAAGGCGCGAGAAGAUCGGCUUAAGUCUCAUUAGCUAGUUGGUAGGGUAAUGGCCUACCAAGGCUUUGAUGGGUAGCUGAUCUGAGAGGAUGUUCAGCCACACUGGAACUGGAACACGGUCCAGACUCCUACGGGAGGCAGCAGUUAGGAAUUUUGCGCAAUGGGGGAAACCCUGACGCAGCAACGCCGCGUGAGUGAAGAAGGCCUUCGGGUUGUAAAACUCUUUUAGCAGGGACGAAACAAAUGACGGUACCUGCAGAAAAAGCACCGGCUAACUCUGU
rnacentral:rRNA from 1 species